UGAAAAGCUAAGAUAAGAAGAAGUAGUAAUUAGGAACUCUAACAGAAAGUAACCGGAUGAUGAGAGGUGCAAGAAAAACUAAUUAUGAAUACAUCUUUGAGCUUCACACCGAAUGAUAUUUAAUCUAGUAGGCUGUUGACGGAUCCCUGCACACGUUAUAGUGCUAGAGUAUUACCAAUUAUAUGGAGUACUUGAAGAGGUAGGCAAUGUAAGUUGUCUAUAAACUUAAGGUGGUAACACGAAGAUUUAAUCUCUCGUCCUUUUG
rnacentral:ncRNA from 1 species